CACGCCGUAAACGAUGGGUGCUAGGUGUAGGAGGUAUCGACCCCUUCUGUGCCGUAGUUAACACAAUAAGCACCCCGCCUGGGGACUACGGCCGCAAGGCUAAAACUCAAAGGAAUUGACGGGGGCCCGCACAAGCGGUGGAGCAUGUGGUUUAAUUCGACGCAACGCGAAGAACCUUACCAGGGUUUGACAUCCUCUGACAGCAUAUGAAAGUAUGUUUUCCGGUUUAGGCCGGACAGAGAGACAGGUGG
rnacentral:rRNA from 1 species